rnacentral:rRNA from 1 species
CGCGCAGGCGGUCUAGUAAGCAGCGGGUGAAAUCCCGGGGCUCAACCCUGGAGCUGCUUGCUGAACUGCUAGACUAGAGUUCGGGAGAGGGCAGUGGAAUUCCUGGUGUAGCGGUGGAAUGCGUAAAUAUCAGGAAGAACACCCGUGGCGAAGGCUGCUGCCUGGAACGAUACUGACGCUGAGGCGCGAAAGCUAGGGGAGCGAACGGGAUUAGAUACCCCGGUAGUCCUAGCCGUAAACGAUGGACACUAGGUGUUGCGAGCAUCGACCCUCGCAGUGCUGUUCUGCUAACGCGUUAAGUGUCCCGCCUGGGGAGUACGGCCGCAAGGUUGAA